rnacentral:tRNA from 1 species
GCCCUCGUAGCUCAAUGGUAGAGCGCGUCACUAGUAAUGACGAGGUUGCCGGUUCGAUUCCGUCCGGGGGCA